ACCACAUUCGGACCGUCGGUCUACUAAGCAAUAUCACCCGCUCGGUGGAAAUCCUUUGUCAU
rnacentral:pre_miRNA from 1 species